GACGAACGCUGGCGGCGUGCCUAAUACAUGCAAGUAGAACGCUGAAGGCGGAGCUUGCUUCUCUGGAUGAGUUGCGGACGGGUGAGUAACGCGUAGGUAACCUGCCUGGUAGCGGGGGAGAACUAUUGGAAACGAUAGCUAAUACCGCAUAAUAGUAGAUGUUGCAUGACAUUUGCUCAAAAGGUGCACUUGCAUCACUACCAGAUGGACCUGAGUUGUAUUAGCUAGUGGGUGAGGUAACGGCUCACCAAGGCAACGAUACAUAGACGACCUGCGAGGGGGAUCGGCCACGCUGGGACGAGGGCACGACCCAGACUCCUGGGGGAGGCAGAAGGAGGGAAUCUCCACCAAUGGAAGCAAGGCGGAACGAGGAACACCGGGUGAGUGCAGAAGGCUGUCGGAUCGCAAGGGUCAGUUGUACGAGAAGAUCGAGAGUGAGAGUGGAACGUGCACACUGUGACGGUACCUGAACAGAAAGCGACGGCUAACUACGUG
rnacentral:rRNA from 1 species